ACACAAGACAACAAAGUAAGAAAAUCACCUGAGCAUAGUAAUACUCAGACGUUAGAGACAUCCACACUGAGACAAGAGUAAAAAUAAGGCAUACACAAAUACAAUAAAAGAAUAUCACAAUCAUGCUUGUUUGCACUAUGGCUUUAUUACAGGAUUCAGUGUCCUUGUGCUUCGAGCUGUCAAUUAAUUCGCCCUGGCGCUGCAAUCUACUAGCCUCCUGAUUAGCUCAGAUGGUAGAGCGACCACCCCGGCAAGGCGUUGGUCACAGGUUUGAAUCCCGAACAAGGAAAACUUUUUCUUUAACUACGAAGCUUUGUUGCUGAGAAACCCGUGGGGGUUUCCUUCGUAGCUUCGUGCUACAUACGGGUGGAUGUCAAUUUUUCCUUUAAUGAACCUUCCUCCACCUUGCGGAAUUCCACAGAACCGAUUUGCCAGGAUGAAAAUUCUUUGUGAAAACUGGAAAAGCACCAGCACUUUGCAGCAAACUGACUGCUGUACAGGACUGUUACAUAAAAAUACUAGGCCUGCGUACUUAAAGGGUUCCUGAAACGAUUCGGACAAAUUUUGUAGACGCAUAGGGUACAGCUACAGUAAAACAUUCGCGUAACAAUUUAAGUGAAGCAUCUCAUAUUAAAAGAACUAAGGACGAUUACAAGUUACCCUACUUCCUAGCCAUGCUUUUUCUCCUCAACUCGUUCGCCAAGUGAUCGGGGCUAAGCUCUGCCUUAUUGCUGCAUGUCAGAAAAAUUUUGCUCUUCGUUAUGACGUCAUGAUAAUGGAGACGCCAUGUCCGGCAUUUCAAAAACAAUGUUAGUAUCAAAUUAAAAUAUCCUAUUAAGCAUUUCCCAACCUUCAUACUUGCUAAGUGUCGUACAUUUAUGUGCAAGAAGCAUGUGGAAGAGUUUCAGCAGCUCCAAAAAUAUGUGUCAGUACUAUUUAAUUCCCUUUGAAAGUACCCUCACUUUAUUAAGCUUUAUUUAAGCUCUUGUGUAGCACACUCUGUAUAGGCCUUGGCACUGGUAGGAGUAAGAUUUAAAUGUAGACCACCUCUAUAUAUUAUUCAUGGUACUGCAGAAAAAACAAGAUAGUAAAUGGGAUUGAUGCCUGAAAAGAUUGUGAUAAAUUAAGAUAUGUGGAUUGGGACAAAGCCUUUAGAGACAUUUUUUGGCCAGCUAAAUGCAUGACUGAAAAAUGUAUAGUUGAGAUUCUACUGUAUGUUUUGCCGUAAUUAACAAUAACAGCGACACACUUCAGCUCAAUAUUCUUAGAACGUUGAAGUUGAGAACAAUGAAGGCUACUAAUUCAUAGCCAUUCCAAAGUUCCUGUGACUUUAGUGUAACAGCUAAAGACCAAUGCUUGUAUCGUUUGCUGUGUCACACCUCAUGACCUGCCAUAGAAAAGGUAGCAAAGUUAACAGCUUGUAACGCAAUAUGCAGGUUAGUGUAUGACAUUCUAAAAUAGAAAUUCCGGCUAGUUGGUCUUGCAUGACAGAUGUUUCCCCUACAUUAGACAAGGGAUGACCGCAGAAACAAGACUAACAAAGUUAUUUCUACAGUUGUCCUUUGUCUAAUGCCUUAUGAUUUACCUGUAUUAAACUCAUUACAAUUCUAAUGUUAUAAUGCACUUCAUUAUUUUUUAAUGUGUGGUUGGAAGAGCUUCCUUAGCCAUAUUCAACCAAUAAAGGAUCUCCACUUGGGUGUUCACCAUGCAUAGCAGUGAGUAGGCUGCUAAUUAUCUUGUAUGGUGUACCAAGCUCCUUUAGGCCAGGGCCAGACCAGCUCCUAGACAUAAACUUUUUAUUUGGUAUUAAAUGCACUUAUUUAGAGAACAUUCCAUGCUUCCAACAAAUCUGAUGUACACAAUUCCAAAAUAGAAUGGAGAGCCAUGUUGAUUUCAGACACUAUCAGCAUUCUUGUUGGCCUGCUGUUGCCUUUUACAUGCUUUCAGAACUUGGGGCUAUUGUUUCUGCAUUAUCUAUUGGUAGGCUUGUGCAAUGAGUUUUUAAUAUUGGUUUCGCACCUCAUGGCCAAGCACAGGUUCAUUAUUUUGUGGAAAUGAUGGCUUUUGUAUGACCAUGUAUCAUCGACUAUUGUGAAUUCAACCCUGACGAAGUGGUACAAAUUGGUAAAGAAAGGCAACAUUUUGCCCAAAUAUUGUCAUUUUACUUGCCUUUUAUCACUGCUGCUAUUCGUGCUUAAAUAAAGAUGCUUGAAAUAGCGUCACAUAAAGCAGGUCAUUGCCUUGGAACAUCUUUUCAGCCUUUGCCACGAACUGUAACGCCACAUCUGAGGCAGAAUACGGCCCCAGGUUACCCUAUGCUCAGAUACACCCGCAUGCCAGAAUGCUUGCGGCUGCUGCUGUUUUUGCCACUGACUGCUGUGGGGAUCGAGGUGCCUUCCCGCGCCUCGUCCCCCAGCUCGCGCGUGGCGCUUAGCUUAAUCUCCGGGAACCGCCGCCAUAACGGCAACAUGGCGGACAUGGCGAGCGCGCCGGACUUACUUUCCCGCGCAAACCGUGCUUCUCCCCCCCCCCCCCCCCGGGAUUGGACUUGCCCCGCGAGAACACGUCACCGGGACGCGCCCUGAUUGGCCUCCCGCGCGGCGGCCCCCGGGCACCCUCUCCCCCCGAGCUCUCGUACGCUGAGCGCUUCCUCGCCGCGGCAGAGAGAGAGGCUCACAGGCUCGCAACGAGGUGGUUACAUGAGACCUUUGUUCUCGCGACUCCUCGUUAUCGCGCUUGGCGGACCGCUACCCGGUUAGCCCUAGCGCAGCGGGCGCGCGUACUCGAUCGGUCUUGCGGCGAGCCUUCGCCCGUAAGCGCCGUGACUGUAGCACUGAGCUGUACCUUGGGUGAAUAAACCCGUGUUUGUUGGCGAUCUGACUCCGGAGCCUUCUCUGCGCCGUGUCGGAGA